AGUCAAGUAAUUAAGUGCAUGUGGUGGAUGCCUUGGCAGUCAGAGGCGAUGAAAGACGUGAUAGCCUGCGAAAAGCUCCGGGGAGGCGGCAAAUAUCCUUUGAUCCGGAGAUGUCUGAAUGGGGGAACCCACCUACUUUAAGGUAGGUAUUGCAACAUGAAUACAUAGUGUUGCAAGGCGAACGAGGGGAAGUGAAACAUCUCAGUACCCUUAGGAAAAGAAAUCAAUUGAGAUUCCCUCAGUAGCGGCGAGCGAACGGGGAUCAGCCCAUUAAGUUAUGUGUGUUUUAGUGGAACGCUCUGGGAAGUGCGAACGUAGAGGGUGAUAUUCCCGUACACGAAAGGGCACACAUAAUGAUGACGAGUAGGGCGAGGCACGUGAAACCUUGUCUGAAUAUGGGGGGACCAUCCUCCAAGGCUAAAUACUCCUGACUGACCGAUAGUGAACCAGUACCGUGAGGGAAAGGCGAAAAGAACCCCUGUGAGGGGAGUGAAAUAGAUCCUGAAACCGCAUGCAUACAAGCAGUGGGAGCACCUUCGUGGUGUGACUGCGUACCUUUUGUAUAAUGGGUCAGCGACUUAUAUUCAGUAGCGAGGUUAACCGUAUAGGGGAGCCGUAGAGAAAUCGAGUCUUAAUAGGGCGUUUAGUUGCUGGGUAUAGACCCGAAACCAGGCGAUCUAUCCAUGAGCAGGUUGAAGGUUGGGUAACACUAACUGGAGGACCGAACCCACUGUCGUUGAAAAGCCAGGGGAUGACUUGUGGAUAGGGGUGAAAGGCUAAUCAAGCCUGGUGAUAGCUGGUUCUCCCCGAAAGCUAUUUAGGUAGCGCCUCGGACGAAUACCAUAGGGGGUAGAGCACUGUUUCGGCUAGGGGGUCAUCCCGACUUACCAAACCGAUGCAAACUCCGAAUACCUAUGAGUACUAUCCGGGAGACAGACUGCGGGUGCUAACGUCCGUAGUCAAGAGGAAAACAAUCCAGACCGCCAGCUAAGGCCCCAAAAUCAUAGUUAAGUGGGAAACGAUGUGGGAAGGCAUAGACAGCUAGGAGGUUGGCUUAGAAGCAGCCACCCUUUAAAGAAAGCGUAAUAGCUCACUAGUCGAGUCGGCCUGCGCGGAAGAUGUAACGGGGCUAAAACUAUGUGCCGAAGCUGCGGAUGUAUACUUUGUAUACGUGGUAGGGGAGCGUUCUGUAAGCCGAUGAAGGUGUGUUGAGAAGCAUGCUGGAGGUAUCAGAAGUGCGAAUGCUGACGUGAGUAACGACAAAACGGGUGAAAAACCCGUUCGCCGAAAGACCAAGGGUUCCAGUCCAACGUUAAUCGGGGCUGGGUGAGUCGACCCCUAAGGCGAGGCCGAAAGGCGUAGUCGAUGGGAAAAUGGUUAAUAUUCCAUUACUUCUGUGUAAUGCGAUGAGAGGACGGAGAAGGCUAAAUCAGCCUGGCGUUGGUUGUCCAGGUGAAAGGAUGUAGGCAUGUAUCUUAGGCAAAUCCGGGGUACUCUAUGCUGAGAUCUGAUAGCAAGCUGUACUUGUACAGCGAAGUGGUUGAUGCCAUGCUUCCAGGAAAAGUCUCUAAGCUUCAGUUACACAGGAAUCGUACCCGAAACCGACACAGGUGGUCAGGUCGAGUAGACCAAGGCGCUUGAGAGAACUCUGCUGAAGGAACUAGGCAAAAUGGUACCGUAACUUCGGGAGAAGGUACGCUGUUGUUGGUGAUGGAACUCGCUUCCUGAGCUGACGACAGCCGCAGAAACCAGGCCGCUGCAACUGUUUAUUAAAAACAUAGCACUCUGCAAACACGAAAGUGGACGUAUAGGGUGUGAUGCCUGCCCGGUGCUGGAAGGUUAAUUGAUGGGGUUAGCGUAAGCGAAGCUCUUGAUCGAAGCCCCAGUAAACGGCGGCCGUAACUAUAACGGUCCUAAGGUAGCGAAAUUCCUUGUCGGGUAAGUUCCGACCUGCACGAAUGGCAUAAUGAUGGCGGCGCUGUCUCCAGCAGAGGCUCAGUGAAAUCGAAAUCGCUGUGAAGAUGCAGUGUACCCGCGGCUAGACGGAAAGACCCCGUGAACCUUUACUGCAGCUUGACACUGAACUUUGACCUUACUUGUGUAGGAUAGGUGGGAGGCUUUGAAGCUGGAACGCUAGUUCCAGUGGAGCCGUCCUUGAAAUACCACCCUGGUAAU
rnacentral:rRNA from 1 species